GACGAACGCUGGUGGCGUGCUUAACACAUGCAAGUCGAACGGAAAGGCCCCUUUGGGGGUACUCGAGUGGCGAACGGGUGAGUAACACGUGAGUAACCUGCCCUUGACUUCGGGAUAACUUCAGGAAACUGGGGCUAAUACCGGAUAGGAAUCCUUGCUGCAUGGUGGGGGUUGGAAAGCUUCGGCGGUUUUGGAUGGACUCGCGGCUUAUCAGCUUGUUGGUGGGGUAGUGGCUUACCAAGGCUUUGACGGGUAGCCGGCCUGAGAGGGCGACCGGCCACAUUGGGACUGAGAGACGGCCCAGACUCCUACGGGAGGCAGCAGUGGGGAAUAUUGCACAAUGGGCGGAAGCCUGAUGCAGCAACGCCGCGUGCGGGAUGACGGCCUUCGGGUUGUAAACCGCGUUCAGCAGGGGCGAAGCUUGUGGUGACGGUACCUGCAGAAGAAGCACCGGCUAACUACGUG
rnacentral:rRNA from 1 species